UACGUAGGGUGCGAGCGUUGUCCGGAAUUAUUGGGCGUAAAGGGCUCGUAGGCGGUUUGUCGCGUCGGGAGUGAAAACUCAGGGCUUAACCCUGAGCCUGCUUCCGAUACGGGCAGACUAGAGGUAUGCAGGGGAGAACGGAAUUCCUGGUGUAGCGGUGAAAUGCGCAGAUAUCAGGAGGAACACCGGUGGCGAAGGCGGUUCUCUGGGCAUUACCUGACGCUGAGGCACGAAGGCCAGGGGAGCAAACGGG
rnacentral:rRNA from 1 species